GACGAACGCUGGCGGCGUGCUUAACACAUGCAAGUCGAACGGAAAGGCCUCUUUCGGGGGGUACUCGAGUGGCGAACGGGUGAGUAACACGUGAGUAACCUGCCCUUGACUUUGGGAUAACUUCAGGAAACUGGGGCUAAUACCGGAUAGGAGCUCCUGCUGCAUGGUGGGGGUUGGAAAGUUUCGGCGGUUGGGGAUGGACUCGCGGCUUAUCAGCUUGUUGGUGGGGUAGUGGCUUACCAAGGCUUUGACGGGUAGCCGGCCUGAGAGGGUGACCGGCCACAUUGGGACUGAGAUACGGCCCAGACGCCUACGGGAGGCAGAAGGGGGGAAGAUUGCACAAGGGGUGGAAGCCUGAUGCAGCAACGCCGUGGGCGGGAUGACGGCCUUCGGGUUGUAAACCGCUUUCGCUCAUGACGAAGCUUUGUGUGACGGUAGUGGGUAAAGAAGCACCGGCUAACUACGUG
rnacentral:rRNA from 1 species